UUCUCCUCUUCUCCUCCGUUCUCAGGUCUGUCGAAGGGAAGGCGGGGGGGUUACAGGUUAUGACUUCUGCUGACUCCAGUACUCAACUAAUCAAGAUGAGCCUCUCUCUUUCGCCCUCUCUCACUCCUCCAUUCUUUCCCCUGCCAAGUGGAGCGGCCGAAAUUGAAUAUAGUCUAAUAAAAAUCUAAGGACUGACAGAGGGAGAUAGAGGAGGUGGUGUGGCGGACCGGCGUGGAGGUGUCCAUCCGUUAAAAUAAAGGGAGUGCAAGAGAGAGAGAAGGGGGGGAGUAAGAGGGAUAGAAGAGAGGGAGAGGCUAACCUUGAUGGCUGAGUGAACAGGGAAGACGGACCAGACAGUUUGUCGUAACCCAGCUGUUUGAUCUUGCCUGGCUGGUGCAAUGGAAUAGUCCCAAAAGUCAUUCAAAAACAGACUGGCCAAAGGCUGCCGAGCGGAUCAGUGUCCUCUGUGUGUGGAGAUAAUAGACUAGAGGGAGGCUGGAGGACUGGAGCAGCAGAGAGAGAGAAGAGGCCCCUACCAGGUCUACCAGGUCCUGCAUGGAUGGACCUCCACCCCUCGUUUAGGCCCCUACACCUGGAUGAACACACACGCAAGUACACACAGGCGCGUAGAUGUGCAUACAUGAACGAACGCAUGGACACACACACACACCAUCCUCCUCUCUGUUCUCACACCCUGCUCUUCACACUAUAGGCUUUAUUUAACAUUGAACACACAUUUUUAUAGUUGAACAAAUACAUUUUUCUUGUUUAACACACCGUAGCUAUCUAAAGUGGUGGUUAGCUGUACCUCGAAGUAACGAAACCCUGAACUAAAUCUAAAUGACGCCGAUACAUCUACUCCAGGUGUUCACAUGACAAGGUUUAAUCUAUUGAAAGUGUGUUUAAUUUGGUGAUUAUCUGGUGAUUGUAAAUCUGUGGGGGGUAUUUGUGUUCCCGCCUACAUGUUUGUGUGUAUGCUCCUGUUUUACUAUACUGUUUUACUAUACUUCUGAGUACCAGAAGUCCUCACUAGAAUAGUAAACCAAGGAAAGUGAGGACAUUUUGCCGGUCCUCACAAGGAAAACGGCUAUUUUAGGUUUGGGGUUAAAGUUAGGGUCAGGUUUAAGGGAAAAUAAGAUUUUGAAUUAGAAUCUAUUGUUUCUCCCCAAAAGGCAUAGUAAAAUAAACGUGUGUGUGUGAGUGAGUGAGGCAGGUUAGAUGUGUGCUCUGUAACAGAGAGGAUGUGUGUACCGGUGAGAGGCGGGUCACAGCAGGACUGUUCUCCCGGGCGCCUGUCAAUCAAACCAGGAUCUGAUCAGGCUGUCAGAUGGCGUCGCCCCCC
rnacentral:lncRNA from 1 species